GACGAACGCUGGCGGCGUGCCUAAUACAUGCAAGUCGAACGAACUCUGGUAUUGAUUGGUGCUUGCAUCAUGAUUUACAUUUGAGUGAGUGGCGAACUGGUGAGUAACACGUGGGAAACCUGCCCAGAAGCGGGGGAUAACACCUGGAAACAGAUGCUAAUACCGCAUAACAACUUGGACCGCAUGGUCCGAGUUUGAAAGAUGGCUUCGGCUAUCACUUUUGGAUGGUCCCGCGGCGUAUUAGCUAGAUGGUGGGGUAACGGCUCACCAUGGCAAUGAUACGUAGCCGACCUGAGAGGGUAAUCGGCCACAUUGGGACUGUGACACGGCCCAAACUCCUACGGGAGGCAGCAGUAGGGAAUCUUCCACAAUGGACGAAAGUCUGAUGGAGCAACGCCGCGUGAGUGAAGAAGGGUUUCGGCUCGUAAAACUCUGUUGUUAAAGAAGAACAUAUCUGAGAGUAACUGUUCAGGUAUUGACGGUAUUUAACCAGAAAGCCACGGCUAACUACGUGCCAGCAGCCGCGGUAAUACGUAGGUGGCAAGCGUUGUCCGGAUUUAUUGGGCGUAAAGCGAGCGCAGGCGGUUUUUUAAGUCUGAUGUGAAAGCCUUCGGCUCAACCGAAGAAGUGCAUCGGAAACUGGGAAACUUGAGUGCAGAAGAGGACAGUGGAACUCCAUGUGUAGCGGUGAAAUGCGUAGAUAUAUGGAAGAACACCAGUGGCGAAGGCGGCUGUCUGGUCUGUAACUGACGCUGAGGCUCGAAAGUAUGGGUAGCAAACAGGAUUAGAUACCCUGGUAGUCCAUACCGUAAACGAUGAAUGCUAAGUGUGGAGGGUUUCCGCCCUUCAGUGCUGCAGCUAACGCAUUAAGCAUUCCGCCUGGGGAGUACGGCCGCAAGGCUGAAACUCAAAGGAAUUGACGGGGGCCCGCACAAGCGGUGGAGCAUGUGGUUUAAUUCGAAGCUACGCGAAGAACCUUACCAGGUCUUGACAUACUAUGCAAAUCUAAGAGAUUAGACGUUCCCUUCGGGGACAUGGAUACAGGUGGUGCAUGGUUGUCGUCAGCUCGUGUCGUGAGAUGUUGGGUUAAGUCCCGCAACGAGCGCAACCCUUAUUAUCAGUUGCCAGCAUUAAGUUGGGCACUCUGGUGAGACUGCCGGUGACAAACCGGAGGAAGGUGGGGAUGACGUCAAAUCAUCAUGCCCCUUAUGACCUGGGCUACACACGUGCUACAAUGGAUGGUACAACGAGUUGCGAACUCGCGAGAGUAAGCUAAUCUCUUAAAGCCAUUCUCAGUUCGGAUUGUAGGCUGCAACUCGCCUACAUGAAGUCGGAAUCGCUAGUAAUCGCGGAUCAGCAUGCCGCGGUGAAUACGUUCCCGGGCCUUGUACACACCGCCCGUCACACCAUGAGAGUUUGUAACACCCAAAGUCGGUGGGGUAACCUUUUAGGAACCAGCCGCCUAAGGUGGGACAGAUGAUUAGGGUG
rnacentral:rRNA from 1 species